ensembl:lncRNA
GAAAAAUCAGGAGUUAGAUUUCUGGAGUUUAUUUUUUAACUCUGACUACAGUUUGUGUUAUGGGAUACUCCCUGGCUGUGUUUUAUUUUGGAGUUCAUUAAUUGGUGUUCAGGAGCGUGUUUUAACACCACAUAUGGAGUUAAAUGUUGAAAAGUGCGCCAUGACCCUGAUUCUACAGCACAAAGGACUUAACGUUUGUCGUGAGAACUUCUAUUUGCUGAAACAUCCAAGAACUCUGCUGACUUCUCAGACCUGACAGAGUUUGGUGCAUCCUCAAAUCAGACAGAUGGUGUUACUCUCACAACUUGUGAUUCUCCCCGGCCCGCAGUGAUCAGCUGAUGUACUACAAAUAUUUCCUCAUUUCUUGGAUGUCAAAAGACUU